GACAGAGGUCCCGAGCGUUAGGCGGAAUCACUGGGCUUAAAGCGUGCGUAGGCGGUGUCUUAAGUUUGUUGUGAAAUCUCCCGGCUUAACCGGGAGGGUGCGGCGAAUACUGAGAUGCUGGAGUGCGGGAGAGGUAAGCGGAAUUCCUGGUGUAGCGGUGAAAUGCGUAGAUAUCAGGAGGAACACCUGCGGUGUAGACGGCUUACUGGACCGUAACUGACGCUGAGGCACGAAAGCGUGGGUAGCGAACAGG
rnacentral:rRNA from 1 species